UGGACGCCCCACGACGUGGUCCCGGCAUCAGUUUUGCAAUAACAUCCGGGAAUGGGCAGUCGACCGUUGACCUUUGUGGGGUGGGGGGGUGCGACCCCAAAGAAACACGUAGUGCGGGCGGCGGUCUCCAUGGAUACCGUUUCGGGCUGAAACCCGGGUCCUAAUGAAGGGUUUCUGUCUGUAAUGUUGACUUCGCUGCUCCCCGAGCAAGUACCGUGCUUUUCCCCAGCUCCGCAUUUAUUGACUCUAGCUUCCAGCGUCUGCAGCUCUUCCUGUCUCCAUGGAUACCGGCUCGCUGGGCGGGCCGUGGCGGCGGCGGGGAAAGUGGAGCCGCCCCGGAUCGGGACAGAAGAGUGCGGUCACCAUUUGGACUGGGUCAGUGAGUUUGGCCCAACCUUCAAUCAGCAGGAAACCGGUCCGGUGAUGGUACUGACCGCGUGAAUUCUCCAAAUGUCGGGGUCCAUCGGUGUUUUUGCUCAUCUGGCAGAGCCCUCUGGCAGAGUCCAAGGGAGCAGUGGUAUGAAGUUUAGCAGAAUUGACAAGCUCCAGAAGGAAAGUGAAUAGUACAAUCAGGCAGAAGAGCAAUGUUGGGUGAGGACAAGGAUUGAAAAGGAAGGUCGCUGAAAGGAAAGGAUGGCCAGAGGAGCGUCCCUGGCAAGAAGAACAUACAAACAUAUAAAUAAGGAGCAAGGGUACACCACCUGGUCCCUUGUGCUUGCUCUACAUUUCAAUAGGAGCAUGGCUAAUCUGUUUACUUCACAUUCAUGUAAACUCUGAUAACCUUUCACUCCUUGUUUGUUAAGAAUCUUUCUUCCUCUGUCAUAAAAAGUAUUCAUUGACUCUGCAUUCACUGCAUUCUGUGAAAGAUCAUUUCAAAGACCAUGACCCUCCUGAAAAACCAUUUCUCCUUAUCUCUGUCUUGAGUGGGCGACCCCUUUAUUUUUAAACAGAGACUCCUAGUUCUAGAUUCUCUGUCAAGAGGAAACAUACAUUCCACAUCCACCCAGCAAAGACCCUUCAGAAUUUUGCACACUUUAAUUAAGUCACCACUUACAUUUCUAAACUCCACCACACAUCCAAGCUUAGCCCUAUCAACCUUUCGUCAUUGCACAACCCUUUGCACAAUGUAGCCAAUCUUCUCUGAAAUGCUUUCAACACAGUAACAUUUUUUUUAAGUAGGAAAACUGAGAUUGCAUAGUACUUCACAUUUGUUCUCCUCAAUGCCCUAUAUAACUAAAGGAUAGAGAACGACUUUGAUAUUCAAUGUCUCUUGCAGUAAGCAACAAUGUUCUAUACACUUUCCUAAUUAUUUGAUGUAGUACAUACCAGCCUUUUGCAAUUCAGGUACGAGUAAACCUAGAUCUUCCUGUACCUUCACGCUCUGCAGUUCUCUUGCCAUUUGGAAAUUCUGCAUAAUUUUUAUUCUCAGCUAAAAUAGACAAUGUCGCAUGUUUGCACAUUAUAUUCCAUAUUCGAGAUCAUUGAUGGUUCACCUGACCUAGUUCUAUCCUUUUGUAGCUUCCUCAUGUCCUCUUCAAAACUUACAUGCCUAUCUACUUUUAUGUCAUCAACAAAUUCAACAACCAUACUUCUGAUUUCUUCUUCCAAGCCAUUUAUAUAAAUUGUAAAAUCGUAAGGUUUAGCACUGAUCCCUGUGACACACCAUUCAUAACAUCUUGCCUUCAACUUAUAACUACUCUGAUUCCUGUUACUGAGCCAAUCCUCUAUUCAUGUUAGUAUGUUAUCCCUUACAGCAAGAGUUGUUUUGUUGCAGUAGUGGCAUCAUAUCAAGUGAGGAGAUAGGAAAAAAGGGCUCAAGGCAAGGUGAUUUUGGUAUUUUGUAAGAAACUACCAGCACACUCGCUGAAACUUUGUGCCCAUUUAAAUGAUUGACACCUGCAGCAUCUCUGCCUGCUUAUAGCACAAGAUCACGGAGAUUCUAUUUGCUUUUGUACCAAUUUUAAAUGGAAUAAAUUAACAUCAUGUGUGAGUGCUGUAAAUGCAGAAUGAAGCGUAAUGUUCCACUUUUAUUGAUGGUCACCACAGUUAACGAGCUAAGCCACGCCUUCUAAUAUACACAUUAAAAGUAAUAACUCUCAAGAGGAUUGGGCAAAAGUUGCCACCUGCCUAAUUAAAAAAAAGCAAUCUCAUGAUCACUAUAAUGUACAAAUAUGUGUCUGCAUUAUACUUCACAUGUAAAACAAAUAAACCCUCCAAAUGUCA